AUGGCCCAGUGGAACCAGUUACAGCAGCUGGAGACCAGGUAUCUGGAGCAGCUCUACCACUUGUACAGUGACAGCUUCCCCAUGGAGCUGCGUCAGUUCCUUGCCCCCUGGAUUGAGAGUCAGGACUGGGCUUACGCUGCCAAUAAGGAGUCACACGCCACCCUGGUGUUUCACAACCUCUUGGGAGAAAUAGACCAGCAGUAUAGUCGUUUCCUGCAGGAGAACAAUGUACUCUACCAGCAUAACCUGCGUAGGAUUAAACAGCAUCUGCAGAGCAAGUACUUAGAGAAGCCGAUGGAAAUUGCCCGCAUUGUUGCCCGCUGUCUGUGGGAGGAGCAAAGACUGCUGCAGACGGCCACCACAGCUGUACAGGAAGGCCAGGCAGCACAUCCCACGGGCACAGUAGUGACAGAGAAGCAGCAGAUUCUGGAGCACAACCUUCAAGACAUCAGGAAGCGGGUGCAGGAUAUGGAACAGAAGAUGAAAAUGCUUGAGAACUUGCAGGAUGACUUUGACUUCAAUUACAAGACAUUGAAGAGUCAAGGAGAGUUGUCCCAGGACCUAAAUGGGAACAGCCAAGCAGCUGCUACCAGACAGAAGAUGGCUCAGCUCGAGCAGAUGCUAAGUGCACUGGACCAGCUGAGGAGGCAAAUUGUGACAGAGAUGGGAGGCUUGUUGACCGCCAUGGAUUAUGUACAGAAGAACCUGACUGAUGAAGAACUGGCAGACUGGAAGAGAAGGCAGCAAAUUGCCUGUAUUGGAGGACCUCCUAACAUCUGCCUGGACCGCCUCGAAACAUGGAUCACAUCCUUGGCUGAGUCCCAGCUCCAGAUUCGUCAGCAGAUCAAGAAGCUGGAAGAGCUUCAGCAGAAGGUGUCCUACAAAGGAGACCCCAUCAUCCAGCACCGGCCCGCCCUUGAGGAGAAGAUUGUGGACUUGUUCAGAAACCUGAUGAAGAGUGCUUUUGUGGUUGAAAGACAGCCUUGUAUGCCCAUGCAUCCCGACAGACCUCUUGUCAUAAAAACAGGAGUGCAGUUCACAAAUAAAGUGAGGUUACUGGUAAAGUUCCCUGAACUCAAUUACCAGCUGAAAAUUAAAGUUUGCAUUGACAAGGAAUCUGGGGAUGUGGCUGCAAUUCGAGGAUCACGAAAGUUUAACAUCCUUGGUACCAACACAAAAGUUAUGAACAUGGAAGAGUCCAACAAUGGCAGCCUGUCAGCAGAGUUUAAACACUUGACCCUGAGAGAACAGAGGUGUGGUAAUGGUGGCCGGACCAAUAGUGACGCUUCUCUGAUUGUCACAGAAGAGCUCCAUCUUAUCACUUUUGAGACAGAAGUCUAUCAUCAAGGCCUGAAGAUCGAUCUGGAGACUCAUUCCCUGCCUGUGGUAGUCAUUUCUAACAUCUGCCAGAUGCCCAAUGCCUGGGCUUCCAUCCUGUGGUACAACAUGCUCACUAACCACCCAAAGAAUGUGAACUUCUUCACCAAGCCCCCAGUUGGGACAUGGGACCAGGUAGCUGAGGUUCUAAGCUGGCAGUUCUCCUCCACCACCAAGCGAGGCCUGACCAUUGAACAGCUCACCACACUGGCUGAGAAAUUACUAGGGCCAUGUGUCAACUACUCCGGCUGUCAGAUCACUUGGGCCAAGUUCUGUAAGGAAAACAUGGCUGGAAAAGGCUUCUCCUUCUGGGUGUGGCUAGACAAUAUCAUUGACCUGGUGAAGAAGUAUAUCCUGGCACUGUGGAAUGAAGGGUAUAUCAUGGGCUUUAUCAGUAAGGAGAGGGAGAGAGCCAUUCUUAGUCCAAAACCUCCUGGCACUUUUCUGUUGCGCUUCAGUGAAAGCAGCAAGGAGGGCGGCAUUACAUUUACAUGGGUAGAGAAAGACAUCAGUGGAAAGACCCAGAUGCAGUCAGUGGAGCCCUACACCAAGCAGCAGCUCAACAGCAUGUCAUUCGCUGACAUCAUCAUGGGCUACAAGAUCAUGGAUGCCACAAACAUCCUGGUUUCACCUCUCGUGUACCUCUACCCUGAUAUCCCCAAAGACGAAGCUUUUGGUAAAUACUGCAGGCCAGAAGCAGCCCCUGAACCUGAGAUGGGAGGAGACUCUACGAGCACUAUUCAGCCGUACUUGAAGACAAAGUUCAUCUGCGUUACCCCGUAAGUAUCUGUCACUCUUCUCUUCUGUUUUGAGCUCCUCAUUUACAGAAAGAUCUCAUGCCACCUGGUGACCUCCACUUACUGUAUGUCAGCCCUUAUUACUAGCUGUUGAUGUUUACUCUUACAAAGAUGAGUUAUAUUCUGGAAUGUUCCUGUUCCAGUAUCUAAACUUCCUUUUUUUUUUUAAAUUCUAAACGUGACAAGUGUUGCCAAAUGUUCAAAGAAAAAGAACAAAUCUGUUUUUACUCUCACUGUGAGUCAUCACUGUCACUGGAGGAACCGUCAGCCUGUUCUCAGACCAAGCAUUGUGAACACAGAUUAUGUGAAGAUUCAGUUUAGACAGAUUGCAGUUCACACCUGGCAUCAGGUUGUGUCUUCAUUUCUGAUGGGAAUCCAUUUCCAUGCUCAAUAUGCAAUUGUUUGCAUGUAGUUGUGUCUAUCUGAGAUGGAACCAAACCAAAAAGGGGCGACGAGGGUCAGCUGCAUGUUAGUGGGAUAGUCAGAGGAGGGUGUAUGCACAGGCCAGUCCGCCACGUGCGCUUAAGUUGGUAGAGGGUUUGCUGGGGUGCUGGUGGGUUGUAAGGUUUGCUCAGUGAGAUC